GCGCUCGCGCGCCGUACCGCAGCCUUUGGCUGCUGGCGCUCCGCGAGGGCGCGGCACGAGCCGCGACGGCCGGUCGGCCUUGCGAGGCUCUGCCUCGAGGUCAGCAGCUUGUUACGGGCAGAGCGCGGUCUUUAGGGCUUGUAGCUCAGUUGGUUAGAGCGCGCGCUUGAUAAGCGUGAGGUCGGAGGUUCAAGUCCUCCCAGGCCCACCACUAACAGUGCAACCCGAAGGGUUGUCGCUUGCCGGUCGAUGCGAUCGGGCACUAUCAGGGGCCGUAGCUCAGCUGGGAAAGCGCCUGCUUUGCAAGCAGGAUGUCGUCGGUUCGAUCCCGUCCGGCUCCACCAACCAUCUUUUUGUGAAGAUGGGACGUGUCGAGUAAAGAUGGUCGCCGGUGGUCAGUCAUUCGAAAAUGAGUUUGCGUCGGGCUUCGUGCUCUGCGCCUGUUCUGUUUGACAUCGUAAAGAGAAGAUUUGUUCGAACUUCAUGGGUCCCGAAAGGGCCAUGAUUUGUCGCAAGGGACGCUCAAUCCCUUGCAUAUGAUGGGUUUGCCUAACCGCGCCCUCGAACCGAUCUCGAGAAGCUGGUCUUUUUGUGCCAAU
rnacentral:tRNA from 1 species